GAGUUUGAUCUUGGCUCAGAUUGAACGCUGGCGGCAGGCCUAACACAUGCAAGUCGAGCGGUAGAGAGAAGCUUGCUUCUCUUGAGAGCGGCGGACGGGUGAGUAAUGCCUAGGAAUCUGCCUGGUAGUGGGGGAUAACGCUCGGAAACGGACGCUAAUACCGCAUACGUCCUACGGGAGAAAGCAGGGGACCUUCGGGCCUUGCGCUAUCAGAUGAGCCUAGGUCGGAUUAGCUAGUUGGUGAGGUAAUGGCUCACCAAGGCGACGAUCCGUAACUGGUCUGAGAGGAUGAUCAGUCACACUGGAACUGAGACACGGUCCAGACUCCUACGGGAGGCAGCAGUGGGGAAUAUUGGACAAUGGGCGAAAGCCUGAUCCAGCCAUGCCGCGUGUGUGAAGAAGGUCUUCGGAUUGUAAAGCACUUUAAGUUGGAGGAAGGGCAGUAAAUUAAUAACUUUGCUGUUUUGACGUUACCGACAGAAUAAGCACCGGCUAACUCUGUGCC
rnacentral:rRNA from 1 species